rnacentral:tRNA from 1 species
AUAAAAAAAGUUUUUCUAUUAGAA